rnacentral:rRNA from 1 species
AACGAACGCUGGCGGCGUGCUUAAGACAUGCAAGUCGUGCGAGAAAGCCACCUUCGGGUGGUGAGUAGAGCGGCGCACGGGUGAGUAACGCGUGGGUAAUCUGCCUUCGGGUCCGGGAUAACGCCGGGAAACUGGUGCUAAUACCGGAUGAGACCACGAUGUCCUCGGACUUCGCGGAAAAAGGUGGCCUCUCCUUGGAAGCUAUCGCCUGAAGAUGAGCCCGCGUCCCAUUAGCUUGUUGGUGAGGUAACAGCUCACCAAGGCUUCGAUGGGUAGCUGGUCUGAGAGGAUGAUCAGCCACACUGGAACUGAGACACGGUCCAGACUCCUACGGGAGGCAGCAGUCGGGAAUCUUGGGCAAUGGGCGAAAGCCUGACCCAGCAACGCCGCGUGAGGGAUGAAGGCCUUCGGGUCGUAAACCUCUGUCGGGAGGGAAGAAGUGGCCGUCGGUUAAUACCCGGCGGCCUUGACGGUACCUCCAAAGGAAGGACCGGCUAACUCCGUG